rnacentral:rRNA from 1 species
GACGAACGCUGGCGGCGUGCUUAACACAUGCAAGUCGAACGGAAAGGCCCUGCUUUUGUGGGGUGCUCGAGUGGCGAACGGGUGAGUAACACGUGAGUAACCUGCCCUUGACUUUGGGAUAACUUCAGGAAACUGGGGCUAAUACCGGAUAGGAGCUCCUGCUGCAUGGUGGGGGUUGGAAAGUUUCGGCGGUUGGGGAUGGACCCGCGGCUUAUCAGCUUGUUGGUGGGGUAGUGGCUUACCAAGGCUUUGACGGGUAGCCGGCCUGAGAGGGUGACCGGCCACAUUGGGACUGAGAUACGGCCCAGACUCCUACGGGAGGCAGCAGUGGGGAAUAUUGCACAAUGGGCGGAAGCCUGAUGCAGCAACGCCGCGUGCGGGAUGACGGCCUUCGGGUUGUAAACCGCUUUCGCCUGUGACGAAGCGUGAGUGACGGUAAUGGGUAAAGAAGCACCGGCUAACUACGUGCCAGCAGCCGCGGUGAUACGUAGGGUGCGAGCGUUGUCCGGAUUUAUUGGGCGUAAAGGGCUCGUAGGUGGUUGAUCGCGUCGGAAGUGUAAUCUUGGGGCUUAACCCUGAGCGUGCUUUCGAUACGGGUUGACUUGAGGAAGGUAGGGGAGAAUGGAAUUCCUGGUGGAGCGGUGGAAUGCGCAGAUAUCAGGAGGAACACCAGUGGCGAAGGCGGUUCUCUGGGCCUUUCCUGACGCUGAGGAGCGAAAGCGUGGGGAGCGAACAGGCUUAGAUACCCUGGUAGUCCACGCUGUAAACGGUGGGUACUAGGUGUGGGGUCCAUUCCACGGGUUCCGUGCCGUAGCUAACGCUUUAAGUACCCCGCCUGGGGAGUACGGCCGCAAGGCUAAAACUCAAAGGAAUUGACGGGGCCCCGCACAAGCGGCGGAGCAUGCGGAUUAAUUCGAUGCAACGCGUAGAACCUUACCUGGGUUUGACAUGGAUCGGGAGUGCUCAGAGAUGGGUGUGCCUCUUUUGGGGUCGGUUCACAGGUGGUGCAUGGCUGUCGUCAGCUCGUGUCGUGAGAUGUUGGGUUAAGUCCCGCAACGAGCGCAACCCUUGUUCACUGUUGCCAGCACGUUAUGGUGGGGACUCAGUGGAGACCGCCGGGGUCAACUCGGAGGAAGGUGGGGAUGACGUCAAGUCAUCAUGCCCCUUAUGUCCAGGGCUUCACGCAUGCUACAAUGGCUGGUACAGAGAGUGGCGAGCCUGUGAGGGUGAGCGAAUCUCGGAAAGCCGGUCUCAGUUCGGAUUGGGGUCCGCAACUCGACCUCAUGAAGUCGGAGUCGCUAGUAAUCGCAGAUCAGCAACGCUGCGGUGAAUACGUUCCCGGGGCU